AUUUACAGAACAGCCACCUCUGUGCCACAAUGCUACUGGGACGCAGAGGUGAAGAGGUGCCACCACCGUCAAGAGGCCUUGGAGAAAGACCAUGGCACAUUAAAGAUAGUGUAGCUGAGGUUCAGGGAAGUAAAACAUCAAGGUCUGAUGACAACCAAGUAUUUCCGAAGUCCAAAAGACCAUACAAGGUCUGGAGAUCAUGCGGUGAGGAAGCCCACCCUCCAAAGAACUCACAACAAUGGGGAGUGGACCCACAGACAGUGCUAGACAGGCAACCUGUAAAUGCCAUCUAGGAGGACUCAAGAGCAGCCAGUGAAGAGACUCGUAUCCUUGUCCCUCGCCCUCUUGCUCAUUUUACACACUGGGCAACUGGGCACUGGAAUGACUGGAGACCAGAAGGGCCAGGGAAGAAAUAUCAGAGAGAGACUGUAUCUCCUCCCACCCCUACACUCUCCAAGGUGAAGAAUGGGGAAGAGGAGUAAAAAAAAUCAACCAGGCCAGGCGCGGCGGCUCACGCCUGUAAUCCCAGCACUUUGGGAGGCCAAGGCAGGCGGAUCACAUCAGGUCAGAAGUUCGAGACCAUCCUGGCCAACACGGUGAAACCGUGUCUCUACUAAAAGUACAAAAAUUAGCUGUGUGUGGUGGCACAUGCCUGUAAUCACAGCUACAAAGAAGGCUGAGGCAGGGGAAUCACUUGAACCCAGGGGGCAGAGGUUGCAGUGAGCUCAGAUCAUGCCACUGCAUUCCAGCCCGGGCAACAGCAAGUCUCCAUCUCAAAAACAAACCAACCAAGUCUACCUUUUCCCACUUCAUAUCCCAAUAGCCACAAGCCUGGUUAGAGUAACAGGAGUAAGUAAACCUUUCAAUUAGAUAUACUGAACUUUUCAAAUGGUCAACUUUCAGUAACCCAGUGUGACCAGGAGGUUGUGAACUCUGCCUAAGGUAUCAUCUGUCCUUGAGAGGAGAAGGGAGAUUUGGACAGAGCAGUUGGGAGUUCUGACUGGAGAAAAACACAAUUGUUCAUGUUUGCACCCCUCUAAGCGAAAACUAUUCAAUUAACAGGCUAAGGUUGCCAUUAUCUCUAUUUUACAGACUAGGAGAUUAAAGCUCAGAAAGAUUAAGAAACUUGCCCACACCCACAAAGCAUAUGGGAGGUUUAGUUUGGAUUCCAAUCCAGGACUAACCUCAGAGCUCAUGCUUUUUAUGAUUACAUGAGGAUUUUUCAAAAUAGCAUCCAACAUAUCCUUAGGGAUCUGCAAAGCCAGUACACAUUUCUUUUUUCAAUCUUGAGUUUUCAACUCAAGCAUUAUCUUCUUAAAAAAUAUAAGCAUAGUAUCGACUACCUGAAUCAUCUUGCAGGUGAAUGCUGAUCCUUGAUUGCCAGCAUUUGCAUUUAAAAUCUUACAGAUAUCAAGUAGUAAGUUCCUUAAUUUUCAUAUACUAAUGACUAAUCAGAAAGGACAGAGGUGACAGCUUAUAAAUAAUGUGGUCAUACCAAUUAAAAGCCAAUGCCUUGCUACACAAAGCAAAGUUUCACCGUAGUUCAAACAAAGAAAUGUGGUAGGAAAAAAGUAUGGGACACAGGACAGACAGGCAUCAAAGAAGUGCUAUAUUCACAUCUGAAUCACCAAUUUAGUUUCAGCAAAAUAUCUACUGUUGUUAACGUGAAUUAUAUGGAUUCUGAAGUUUUAAAUUGAAUUUGUAAAUUUGUUUUCAUAUAUAAUUGUGGGAGAGCUAUAAGAACAUGUUUACACCUCACAGUUUUUGUUUAUACAAAUUUUGGUAAAGAAAUAAUUAAAAUAAUUUAAUUCAACAGCAAGAACCAGUACAAAUAUAUGUUUAAAGUGUCCUUAUUACACAUGCUUGAGAAACUCUGUGGCCAUUAAAAACCUAUGUUGUAGAUGACUAUUUUGUGAUGCGGAAAUAUUUUUUCUUUUUUCUUUUUUUUGAGGCAGAGUUUCACUCUUGUUGUCCAGGCUGGAGUGCUCUCAGGUCACCGCAACCUCCGCCUCCCGGGUUCAAGCGAUUCUCCUGCCUCAGCCACCCGAGCAGCUGAGAUUACAGGCAUGUGCCACUGUGCCCGACUAAUCUUGUAUUUUUAGUAGAGAUGGGAUUUCUCUGUGUUGGUCAGGCUGCUCUCCAACUCCUGACCUCAGGUGAUCCACCCACCUCAGCCUCCCAAAGUGCUGAGAUCACAGGCGUGAGCCACUGCACCCGGCCAGGGAAAUAUUUUCAAUAUAUUAACUUAAAGCACACAAAGGGUGAAACAGCCUCACCUUCAUUUUGUAAAAUAUACAUAGCACAUAUAAAUACAGGAAAAAGAGACUAGGAAAUACUCUAAAAUAUUAAUGUUUAGGCUUGACAGGAGUAUUACAAGUGCUAUUUAUUAAUAUUAUUUUUGUGAUGUGUGUUUAUAAUUACUUUAUUGUGAAUAAAACAAGUAUUAACAAAAAAAUUCCAUGUUUAAUAGCGUAUACUAUGAAAGUUCCCAAAACCUGUUGCAAAACAAACAAACAAAAAAAACCCAAAACCAAAUCACAUUUUCAAUUCAAUUCCAGUUCAAACUCUUUUUUUCGCCAAGGCAAUAUAACCAAUCCUGAGUAAUAUUUGUUCAAAACUUAAAAGCAUAUAAAGCACUAAUGAACCAAUAACUUACUGUGCUUUAGGUACCAAGGCUACAAGAACAUGAACAAAGGGCAUGGUGCAUUGGAAAAGCUACCAUUUUAGGGGAAGCACAGCGUAAACCAACAGUUACUGAGUGGUACUAAGGCCUGACGGUGACACAGGUGAACUAGAGGAAGGAGCUUCAUAAUUCAUUCUGAUGAGGUGGAUGGUGCAGGAAAGACUGCCACAAGGUGGCAAGUGAAAUUAGUCCUAAGAACAUAUGAGGAAAUGAGGGCACAGAGGUGAAAUGGCAGAUUACCCACAAGUAAAAUCUAAACAUAGGUCUUAUGACACUAACCUCACUGACCACACUAGACCAAUCUCUUCCGGACUCCUAUGGCACUGGUCUUUGUCAUUUGUGUAGUAUGUACUGCCUGGCAGUACAUUCUACAUUCAAGCUGCUUCCCCACCAAGACUAUAAACUUUGAGGGGAAUACUAUGUACACUGUAGAUACUUAUGUACACUGUAGAUACUUACUAUCUGUUAAUGACAGUAUCUUCAAGUGGACCUCUAACAGGUUUUAGCCUCAAUAAGUUAUAGUCUCUGUUGGUAUCCAAAAAAGUAAAUCCAGGCACAGUGGUGCACCUAUAGUCCCAGCUAUUCAGGAGGCUAAGUGAGAGGAGCACUUGAGCUCAGGAGUUUGAGGCUGUAGUGUGCUAUGGUCCUGCCUGUGAAUAGCUACACACACACACACACACACAUCCCUGGCCUAUACUCAAUGUUUUCCUCUAGGAAAUUAUAUGAAAAGAUCAACAAACUCAUUUCAACAAUCCUCAUGAUACUAUACGUAAAACUUAGCACUUUCCCCUGCUCUUGCAAGUCAGCAGAACUCCAAUUGGCAUGUUCUUCCAAUGCACACUAAGGAAAGACACGCUGUCUACCCGAGAAAAUCUUCGCAGUGAACUGUGGUAAUAGUUAAUGACACCUAAAUGUUAUGGCUCAUGAACAUGGGUGAAACUCUCAGACAUGCCACCUAUAUGACAUGACAGGCCUGCACUGUAUACAACAGUGAAUAACUGGAAGUAACAAAUGUUUAACUGGGGGAAUGUGCACACAGGUGUGGUACAUUCACUUACGUGAUAUUUAUAAGACUUAUGUACAUGUCUAGUAUUUGCUUUAAAUAUUCCAGCAAAGAAACAGAAAAACAGAUAGAUGAAAUGUGAUGAAAUCUUGAUAAGAUUUGAAAUUGUGUGCAUCAGUAUUCUUUACUUUUGUGUAUGACUGAAAUUUUUCAUAAUUAAAAAUUGGAAAAAAUACUAUGUAGAUAUAAGUGAAAAAAUUCACAAUGUUAUAAUAAAAAAAAUAAAGUGAUAACUGAUGUUGGUUAUAACCAUGUAAAAAAUGAGCGUGUGGCCAAAAUAACAGCAAUAGCAAUUAGCACCCUUAGUGCCCAUCAUGGAUUUUGGCAUACCACUUUUACUAGAAGAAACCAGGACUCUGAGGAAAUGGCUAGCUAAUUCCAGGUCUGGGUCAGAAAAUGUACAAGAUAAACUUGGAACAUCUUGUCAUACCAGAGAACAAAGAAAUUAUCAAAGACUAGUAGGGUCAAGUCAAAAGGAUCCAGAAAUCAACUCGAAUAGGCUCCUGCUGGUUAAAGAUAGGACAAUCUGACUUUCAAUAAGGAUAACAACUCUAACAGAUUCAAAUGCAUGGAAUAUGUUUAAACAUGUGAGCUUAUAAUGAUACUAAAAAAUACCCUAAUUGAUCACUUUGAAGGAUCCUAAGGAACUCACUCACUACUCUGACAGCAAGUAAAUAAAUAAGAAGCCAGCAUAAAAAUGGGUUAGAGGGGUAAUUAGUUGUAAAGAAUAUCAGCGACUUCUGAAAUUACCUUGAUGAUAGCUGCUGCCUUACAAGUGGCAUCAAGCCUGCACCAAGCUGCUUACAGUCUCAAGCAAAGGGCUCAUAAUCUAGCAAAGGGAGACUGAUAGCCCAAUGUGAGAAUGGCGAAUUAGAGAUGAAAAAAGUGUCAUGGAAGCAAGCCCAGAAGGCGGCUCCCUUUGGAGGAUCCUGCAGGGUAGGCAAUCUGAGCUAACCUUUGAAGGGUUACCACUUACUGAGAAGUUUUUGCAUUUUAAACCAUUCUCAAACAUUGGCCCCAGGAUCUCACAUAUUGAUCUUUACAUCCCCCAGCACACACCUAUUUCCCAGCGACUGGCCAAAGUCAUAGCUUCAGACAAAUCCCUGUGUGGUUUAAUUUCCCUUCCAUGAGACUGGCAGAUCCUUGAGCUGUUCCUUUCAGGAAAAAUUAACUCCCUAAAAUUUGAUGUGCUACCCAGCUUGAGAAUUUCAGUUAUGUUCUGACAUUGUACAUUCCAGGUAUGGCUCAAAUUUGAAAGGGAUGUGAAGGCACCCAUGCUCAUGUUCAGAGUUCCUAUGAAUAGGUUAAUAAAUGUAAGUCAACAUCAUCCCUAUGCCACCUCCCCCAGUACUUAAUACUCUGGACUAGACACUGUGCUAAGAUUUUUUUCACAUGUUAUUCUGAUAAAUGUGCAAACCCAGUGAAAUAAGAAGCAUUAGUCUAAUUUUACAGACAAAGAAG
rnacentral:lncRNA from 1 species